rnacentral:misc_RNA from 1 species
UUGGUUUGUUUUCGGUGGUUGGCUCUCUGCUUUUGCAACAACUUCCACCUAGCAUUCCUUUUCAUUUAUGGGUCAAGGUUGUAUUUCCUUGAUCGCUUGGUUGGUUUCCUGUGUUGCCUACCGAUGUGAUGGUAUCUUUCGUAAUAUAAAUGCUCAUUUCAUCCUACAGUUCUUGUUUAUUGUGGGAGGGGCCUCAAAGCAGUUUUUAUGGUUCACCUUGAUGCUCUUGCGUUGAUGUUGUGAUUCAUUGAUUAUUGCUUGGUCUUAUGGAUACGGAACAUGAUAUGGGCAUGAGUUGAUGUUAUCCUUGAUUUUGCCCUUGUUGAAUGUUAUUUUGCUCAAAAGAAUCCUAUCUAGCCCGAAUUGGCUCGUACCACCGGGUGGGUUUGCAUUCCUAGAGUAUUGAUAAUGUUCUUGCUUCUCUAAAACGAACUGUCUAGCCUGCAUUGGCUCGUCCAAGUAGGGUAGACUGUGUCGAAGAAGGAUGCUACCUGGUUGAUCCUGCCAGUAGUCAUAUGCUUGUCUCAA